UAAAUGUCAGUAUUGUGUAUAACUUUUGUCGCAGCUGAUCGAACGACAAUAUUAGUCACUGCCGACACGCAGUUAUUUCGAAUUUUUGUAAACAUUGAAAUCAGUGGAUUAAGUUUUGCGGCUCUAGAAGUUUUGUGUGGUUUGGAUGAUAAAUUUUGCUUACAAAUGAACAGGUAU